GUCGUGAGAUGUUGGGUUAAGUCCCGCAACGAGCGCAACCCCUAUCCUAUGUUGCCAGCGAGUAAUGUCGGGGACUCGUAGGAGACUGCCGGUGCCAAACCGGAGGAAGGUGGGGAUGACGUCAAGUCAGCAUGCCCCUUACGUCUUGGGCUGCACACAUGCUACAAUGGCUGGUACAAAGGGUUGCGAUAUCGCGAGAUGGAGCUAAUCCCAGAAAGCCAGUCUCAGUUCGGAUCGCAGUCUGCAACUCGACUGCGUGAAGUCGGAGUCGCUAGUAAUCGCAGAUCAGCAACGCUGCGGUGAAUACGUUCCCGGGCCUUGUACACACCGCCCGUCACACCACGAAAGUCGGCAACACCCGAAGCCAGUGGCCCAACCCUUCGGGGAGGGAGCUGUCGAAGGUGGGGUUGGCGAUUGGGGUGAAGUCGUAACAAGGUAGCCGUACCGGAAGGUGCGGCUGGAUCACCUCCUUUCUAAGGAGCUCCACUGCCCGGCAUUCGGUGGCACGACCAUUCCGGUUUCGGAGCGGUCACGUCCAUCGUGUCGCUGGGAGUUCCCACGUCGAGCACUGGUUAUUCGGCAUCCGGAAGACGAUCCGACCCCGGCGUCGCGUUCGCUCGAACCUGAGCGUUCCCCGCGUCGGCACCACCGGGUCCCGUAUGUCCGGCAUCACUAUUCCGUUUUGAGGGAGUCGCACCGCCCGUGCUCCACGCAUCUGCGUGGGGCACUUCGGCGUUCCGGUUCCCGGCCCUCCCGCAACGUCGACGCCUCUGGCGCGGUUGCAGUGGCCCUCGAGACGCCUCGCGUCUCAGUCGACCCUUGAGAACUGCAUAGCGAGCACGAGCAUCAAAGUACUCCCAAGCUAUGAAGAGCCAACGGUGGAUGCCUUGGCGCCAGAUGCCGAUGAAGGACGUGGAUGGCUGCGAAAAGCCACGGUGAGCCGCCUAACAGGCUUUGACCCGUGGAUAU
rnacentral:sRNA from 1 species